CCGCCGCUCAACCUCGCGAUUAACAAGCUCCAUAUUGGCCGGAAAACGUCCCAUCGAGAUUUCUUUGGUGAGUUCGCGCUUCACCAGUACCCUGAUUUCAUUACGGCUGCGUUCUGCAUCACGUUUCACUGAAUAUGGGGGGACCAUCCUCCAAGGCUAAAUACUCCUGACUGACCGAUAGUGAACCAGUACCGUGAGGGAAAGGCGAAAAGAACCCCGGCGAGGGGAGUGAAAAAGAACCUGAAACCGUGUAC
rnacentral:rRNA from 1 species